rnacentral:lncRNA from 1 species
GAUUUUGAUGCGACAAUCCUAUACCACCCCGGAAAAGCAAACGUGGUGGCCGACGCACUUAGCAGGAAGUCAGUGGAGAAUCUCGCUAUGUUGGUCACACGUCAGGAGCCACUGUGGAAAGAGAUGGAGCGAUUGGAUCUCGAGGUGGUAGCUCCGGAAAUCCCGUCUAUGCUUACGGCUCUUGUUGUCCAACCGAACUUAUUGAAGCAGAUUAAGAGUUUGCAAUCUGCA